AUUUGGGGGUAUUUUCCCCAAAGAAAAGUGGAAAAUGCUUAGCUAAAGAGCCCACAGUGCCAGGAAAACAGUGGAAAAUGGAAAUUUACGGUCAUUUAGCGGCCAAAUAUGUGAAAAUGCGCGAAGUGAAAAAUCAAAACAUUCUUUCCCUGACCAAUUUUUACGGGAUUCUUUUCUAGAUUUUGACCACACAAAUCACUUCUUGCGGGCUUUUUGUAUCUUCCUACAGGUCAUCUGCAUAGGGAAGGUCGGCCUGGGGUCAGGGAAAUGCUUCCUGGGUGGUGGAAUCCCACCUGAACGCGAAAAACUGGUCCGGGAGUGAAUGUUUUGCUGUCAAACUUCACUGUUUUCACUUAUUUGGCCGAUAAAUACCCACGAUUUUCCACUUUUCACACUUUCACAGGCACUAAGAACACUUCCACAAGCCGCUUUUCACUUUUCCCGAGAUAAAAUAUCACAAUUCACAGAGAAAAUUGACGAAAAAUAAGAAACGUGUUGACUACGCAAGAGCUUGAAAAAGAAUGUCGCAGGAACCCCAUAAAGAGUUGUCCUAUUAUUGUAGACAUGUCUAUGGACAUGUCUAACAGCAAUCCAAUGUGAUCUUUUUUCAGCGAACAUAUCCAAUGAAAGUCCAAAGGAUUAUCAUUGGACAUUCGUUUGGGAUAUGUCCAAUUACAGUCUUAUAUCUAGUCUAAUGAUUUUUCUUGGGACGUGUCCUUCACUUGUCCUAUAUGAGUCCAAUUUCCGUUUACAUUGAACGUUUCCAAUGCCAGUCCAAUGGAUUAUCAUUGGACAUUCGAUUGUGAUAUGUCUAACAGUAGUUUAAUGUUUAAUCCUACGAUUUAUGUUAGGACACCAUAAUCAAACGUCCAAUGCUACUCCAAGGUAAUUUCAUAGGACAUUCUAAUUGAACGUUUCCAAUGCCAGUCCAAUGGAUUAUCAUUGGACAUUCGAUUGUGAUAUGUCUAACAGUAGUUUAAUGUUUAAUCCUACGAUGUAUGUUAGGACACCAUAAUCAAACGUCCAAUGCUACUCCAAGGUAAUUUCAUAGGACAUUCUAAUUGAACGUUUCCAAUGCCAGUCCAAUGGAUUAUCAUUGGACAUUCGAUUGUGAUAUGUCUAACAGUAGUUUAAUGUUUAAUCCUACGAUGUAUGUUAGGACACCAUAAUCAAACGUCCAAUGCUACUCCAAGGUAAUUUCAUAGGACAUUCUAAUUGGACGUAUCUAAUGCCAGUCCAAUAGAUUACCAUUGGACAUUCGAUUGAGAUAUAUUCAACCAUAGUCUAAUGUUUAAUCCUACAGUUUACCUCAGGACACUUUAAUCAGACAUCCAAUGCUAGUCGAAGGAAAAUUUAUAGGACAUUCUAAUUGGACAUAUCCAAUGCCAGUCCAUUGGUUUAUUAUUGGACAUUUGUUUGAGAUAUGUCCAACGAUGGUCGAACGUUUAAUCUUACGAUUUAUCUUAGCACAUCUAAUUCAAACGUCCUAUGCUAGUCCAAAGGAAUUUCAGAGGAAAGUUUACGUUAGACGUAUCCAAUGCCAGUCCAUUAGUUCAUCAUUGAACAUUCGAUUGGGAUAUAUCCCACGAUUGUAUAAUAUCUUGUACUACGAUAUCUCUUAAGACGUCUAAUUCAGACGUCCAAAGCUAAUCCAAAGGAAUAUCAUAGGACGUUAAAAUUUCAUAUAUCUAAUGCCAGUCCAACUAUUUUCAUUGGACUUUCGACAUAUGCUUCCAUCGAUAUGUCUUACGUUUGUUCAAAUGUCUUUGUUCUGUGAAGAGUGCGUGUGUAGCAGCGUUGGAAAAUGGAAAAAUGGGAAAAAUAUCCGGAAAAAUAGCAAAGUAAGUACAUUAUACACUAAUUAGGAUAUAGUUAAACGAUGUGUAUAAGAAAUUAAGUUGCAAUUUAUAUAAUUGUACGCGAAAAUAGAAAUUUUCUUUUUUACAGGUUACGUGUUUCGACAAGUCCAGGUGAGAGAUUUUUUUCGAAUAAAAGCAGGUAAAAAGAGAAGUAUUUUAAUUAAAGAGCGCUCUUCUGUAAAUAGUAGAAGUAGUCGGGGUAGUAGUAGUAAAUAUUAUGUAUGUAAUAUUUGACAAAUUUUUCUAUUAUUCCAUUAUUAUUCAUUGAUUUGUCUUUUCAUGCUACAUGUUCCCGGACAACUUCUAUUCUCCGGACUCUCCCAGGCUCCCCAAAAAGAGUGUCCAUGGACAACCCAAUGGAUUGUCAAUGGAUUCGUCCCAUGUGUCCCAUGGACUUUUCUUGUUUUUUUCUUAUAUUCUGUAAUAUUCUUACAGCUACAUGUUCCCGGCGUUCCCGGACAACUAUCUUACGGAUACUCCCACGUUACAAAAGCUCGCCAAAGAGAACUAUCAGCAUUUAUGACGAAGGGAAUGGAGAAAAGAAAAGACCGUGCCUUGGAAAACAGAAGUAGGAGAGCAUCCCGUGUCUUGGAAAACAGAAAUUGCAGAGCAUCCCGUGUCUUGGAAUACAGGAGUUGCAGAACAUCUGAAAGACCCAGGACGUCAGAGUUCAACCGCCGAAGGACAAAGUAUCAUACAUGUAAGAUUUAUAUAUAUAAUUUUUAAAUAAAAAAAUAAAAAAUUAA